rnacentral:rRNA from 1 species
AGAUUGAACGCUAGCGGGAUGCUUUACACAUGCAAGUCGAACGGCAGCGCGGACUUCGGUCUGGCGGCGAGUGGCGAACGGGUGAGUAAUAUAUCGGAACGUGCCCAGUAGCGGGGGAUAACUACGCGAAAGCGUGGCUAAUACCGCAUACGCCCUACGGGGGAAAGGGGGGGAUUCUUCGGAACCUCUCACUAUUGGAGCGGCCGAUAUCAGAUUAGCUAGUUGGUGAGGUAAAGGCUCACCAAGGCGACGAUCUGUAGCUGGUUUGAGAGGACGACCAGCCACACUGGGACUGAGACACGGCCCAGACUCCUACGGGAGGCAGCAGUGGGAAUUUGGACAAUGGGGAAACCCUGAUCCAGCCAAGCCCGCGUGUGACCGAUGAACGGCCUUUAGGGUUACGUUAAAGACGUACUUUUGGCGAAGGUAAGAAACGG